rnacentral:rRNA from 1 species
AGAGUUUGAUCCUGGCUCAGGAUGAACGCUGGCGGCGUGCUUAACACAUGCAAGUCGAACGAUUAACCCGCCCUCGGGCGGUUAUAGAGUGGCGAACGGGUGAGUAACACGUGACCAACCUGCCCCUUGCUCCGGGACAACCCAGGGAAACCUCGGCUAAUACCGAAUACUCCGCGCAGCCCGCAUGGGAGGCGCGCGGAAAGCCCAGACGGCAAGGGAUGGGGUCGCGGCCCAUUAGGUAGACGGCGGGGUAACGGCCCACCGUGCCCGCGAUGGGUAGCCGGGUUGAGAGACCGAUCGGCCACAUUGGGACUGAGAUACGGCCCAGACUCCUACGGGAGGCAGCAGUGAGGAAUAUUGGUCAAUGGGCGAGAGCCUGAACCAGCCAAGUAGCGUGCAGGACGACGGCCCUAUGGGUUGUAGACUGCUUUUAUAAGGGAAUAAAGUGAGUCUCGUGAGACUUUUUGCAUGUACCUUAUGAAUAAGGACCGGCUAAUUCCGUGCCAGCAGCCGCAGUAAUACGGAAGGUCCGGGCGUUAUCCGGAUUUAUUGGGUUUAAAGGGAGCGUAGGCCGGAGAUUAAGCGUGUUGUGAAAUGUAGUGGCUCAACCUCUGCACUGCAGCGCGAACUGGUCUUCUUGAGUACGCACAACGUGGGCGGAAUUCGUGGUGUAGCGGUGAAAUGCUUAGAUAUCACGAAGAACUCCGAUUGCGAAGGCAGCUCACGGGAGCGCAACUGACGCUGAAGCUCGAAAGUGCGGGUAUCGAACAGGAUUAGAUACCCUGGUAGUCCGCACGGUAAACGAUGGAUGCCCGCUGUUGGCUUGAAUAGGUCAGCGGCCAAGCGAAAGCAUUAAGCAUCCCACCUGGGGAGUACGCCGGCAACGGUGAAACUCAAAGGAAUUGACGGGGGCCCGCACAAGCGGAGGAACAUGUGGUUUAAUUCGAUGGUACGCGAGGAACCUUACCCGGGCUUAAAUUGCAGAGGAAGGAUUUGGAGACAAUGACGCCCUUCGGGGUCUCUGUGAAGGUGCUGCAUGGUUGUCGUCAGCUCGUGCCGUGAGGUGUCGGCUUAAGUGCCAUAACGAGCGCAACCCCUCUCCUUAGUUGCCAUCAGGUCAAGCUGGGCACUCUGGGGACACUGCCACCGUAAGGUGUGAGGAAGGUGGGGAUGACGUCAAAUCAGCACGGCCCUUACGUCCGGGGCUACACACGUGUUACAAUGGCAGGUACAGGGAGAUGGUGUUCUGCAAAGCGCAUCUAAUCCUUAAAGCCUGUCUCAGUUCGGACUGGGGUCUGCAACCCGACCCCACGAAGCUGGAUUCGCUAGUAAUCGCGCAUCAGCCAUGGCGCGGUGAAUACGUUCCCGGGCCUUGCACACACCGCCCGUCAAG